CAGAUCGAGGGAGAUCGCCAUCCCGGCUGUGGCAAGCUCCAUCCAGUGAGCUCUUGCACACAGGACGAACCCACUCGUGUCUUCUGCAUCCACCUCUUUUCGGACAGCUGCCUUGGUUGAGAAAGUCAACAAGGGAUUUUAUAUUAACCAUUUCACUGGAAGCCAAUGCUGGAAGGACCACCAAUUUCAUAUUCAGAAAGAGAAUUAUCAAGGCUGGUACAGGAAGAAGCCCCUGAAGCAAUCUGAUUUCGGAGAGGUAUGUUUUAUGCUCAUCCACUUUAUUGAAGGAGAAACAAUGGAUAAAAGAAAAAUGCUGUUAUUUAGUGACUUCUCAUGAUGAUUGUGAAGGUGGCUGAAUUCAUAGAAUGAGAUGGAGUAAUCCUACACCAGGAGCCUUAUGGGGAAACUGAAAAUACCAGUGCUGAGUAUCUACCCAGUUGCUUGGCUGAAAAUAUAGAAAGGAAGGAUAGUUCAUUAACAAGACCUACCCAGACCGGCAAGCUUUAACUGUCCAAACACAGAGAGCACUAAUCAGGGUAGGCCUUAAGAAGUACAAAAAUAUGUGAAUG